rnacentral:rRNA from 1 species
AGAGUUUGAUCCUGGCUCAGGAUGAACGCUAGCUACAGGCUUAACACAUGCAAGUCGAGGGGCAGCAUGGUCUAGCAAUAGACUGAUGGCGACCGGCGCACGGGUGAGUAACACGUAUCCAACCUGCCGAUUAUUCCGGGAUAGCCUUUCGAAAGAAAGAUUAAUACUGGAUAGUAUAACGAGAAGGCAUCUUCUUGUUAUUAAAGAAUUUCGAUAAUCGAUGGGGAUGCGUUCCAUUAGUUUGUUGGCGGGGUAACGGCCCACCAAGACAUCGAUGGAUAGGGGUUCUGAGAGGAAGGUCCCCCACAUUGGAACUGAGACACGGUCCAAACUCCUACGGGAGGCAGCAGUGAGGAAUAUUGGUCAAUGGGCGGGAGCCUGAACCAGCCAAGUAGCGUGAAGGACGACGGCCCUACGGGUUGUAAACUUCUUUUAUAAGGGAAUAAAGUUCGCCACGUGUGGUGUUUUGUAUGUACCUUAUGAAUAAGCAUCGGCUAAUUCCGUGCCAGCAGCCGCGGUAAUACGGAAGAUGCGAGCGUUAUCCGGAUUUAUUGGGUUUAAAGGGAGCGUAGGCGGGCUUUUAAGUCAGCGGUCAAAUGUCGUGGCUCAACCAUGUCAAGCCGUUGAAACUGUAAGCCUUGAGUCUGCACAGGGCACAUGGAAUUCGUGGUGUAGCGGUGAAAUGCUUAGAUAUCACGAAGAACUCCGAUCGCGAAGGCAUUGUGCCGGGGCAUAACUGACGCUGAGGCUCGAAAGUGCGGGUAUCAAACAGGAUUAGAUACCCUGGUAGUCCGCACGGUAAACGAUGAAUGCUCGCUAUGGGCGAUAUAUUGUCCGUGGCCAAGCGAAAGCGUUAAGCAUUCCACCUGGGGAGUACGCCGGCAACGGUGAAACUCAAAGGAAUUGACGGGGGC